rnacentral:rRNA from 1 species
UGGGGAAUAUUGGACAAUGGGCGCAAGCCUGAUCCAGCCAUGCCGCGUGAGUGAUGAGGCCCUAGGGUUGUAAAGCUCUUUCACCGGUGAAGAUAAUGACGGUAACCGGAGAAGAAGCCCCGGCUAACUUCGUGCCAGCAGCCGCGGUAAUACGAAGGGGGCUAGCGUUGUUCGGAUUUACUGGGCGUAAAGCGCACGUAGGCGGACUAUUAAGUCAGGGGUGAAAUCCCGGGGCUCAACCCCGGAACUGCCUUUGAUACUGGUAGUCUUGAGUUCGAGAGAGGUGAGUGGAAUUCCGAGUGUAGAGGUGAAAUUCGUAGAUAUUCGGAGGAACACCAGUGGCGAAGGCGGCUCACUGGCUCGAUACUGACGCUGAGGUGCGAAAGCGUGGGGAGCAAACAGG